UACGUAGGGUGCGAGCGUUGUCCGGAAUUAUUGGGCGUAAAGAGCUCGUAGGCGGUUUGUUGCGUCUAUCGUGAAAACCUGCAGCUUAACUGUGGGCUUGCGGUGGAUACGGGCAGACUUGAGUUCGGUAGGGGAGACUGGAAUUCCUGGUGUAGCGGUGAAAUGCGCAGAUAUCAGGAGGAACACCGGUGGCGAAGGCGGGUCUCUGGGCAGUAACUGACGCUGAGACGCGAAAGCGUGGGGAGCGAACAGG
rnacentral:rRNA from 1 species